rnacentral:tRNA from 1 species
GGUUGAUUGUCCGAUUUAGGUGUAAUACUGUAGAUAUUAUUAUUUUAUCAGCUAUAGGAAUGAUAA